CAAAGGGUUGAAGGAGAGGAGUGGAGAAAGAAGGUGCCAAGAAAUCCCCCUCCUUCCAGUGAAGUCCACCCACACAGCCACCAACAGGAAGAGGGAAGCAAUUCUAGGGAGAGGCUUGGCAGGAGCUAGUUCCCUGAGCCAAGCAGGAAUACAGCCCUCGUUCUAUCCCCAGUGAUGAACCGCCCCACUCCCCCACCUCCAGCAGCUCCCCAGCUCCAGCUACACAGGGCAGAGCUGAGGAUGGCCUCUCCUUGGGUCCCCCAGAUUCAUUCCCGGGAGCUCACAACUGGCAGAGGGAAGAGGAGGGUGCUCCAGGCAGCAGCCCUGUGGGAGUGGUGGUCUCCAGCUUCAGCUGCAAGGCCAUGAAAACAGGAACCAGCCCCCUCAGCCACCGUUUCUCUGAAACCAAAGCUCAGCAACCGAAAAAGGAUCAAAAAAGCAGACGGUGGAGGUGGAGCGAGGCAGCUGCGCUUCUCAGUGCCCCUGGGCUGUCCCCAGCCCCACCUCUGGCACAGGUGGUCCAAGGAGCCCGAGACUCCAUGGCGGGUCCUACCUUUUCGGGUGAGCUGCCUCGGCUCUCCCAGCCUCCACAUCCACACAUUCCAAACAGAGACACCACUACCUCCCUGACCUACCACUUGAGAAAUUACAGAAAGAAAACACAAGGUGGCUCAUGUUUGGGCCAGCAGCCUCCAGCUGUGGACCACACAAAAAUAAUAAAAACAAAUGAUAAUGCUG